AACGAACGCUGGCGGCGUGCCUAACACAUGCAAGUCGAGCGCGAAAGGAGCAAUCCGAGUAGAGCGGCGCACGGGUGCGUAACACGUGGAUAAUCUGCCUCAGGGUUGAGGAUAACCUUCCGAAAGGUUGGCUAAUACCCGGUAAGCUUACGGUGACUUCGGUCGCCGUGAGAAAACUAGACCUCUAUUUAUAAGUUUAGGCCCAGAGAUGAGUCCGCGGCCCAUCAGCUAGGUGGCGGGGUAACGGCCCACCAAGGCUACGAUGGGUAGCUGGGCUGAGAGGACGAUCAGCCACACUGGAACUGAGACACGGUCCAGACUCCUACGGGGGGCAGCAGUGGGGAAUUUUCCACAAUGGGCGAAAGCCUGAUGGAGCAACGCCGCGUGUGUGAUGAAGGUCUUCGGAUCGUAAAGCACUUUCGACUGGGACGAAAAACCUUUGGCUAACAUCCAGGGGCCUGACGGUACCAGGAGAAGAAGCACCGGCUAACUCUGUGCCAGCCGCCGCGGUAAGAC
rnacentral:rRNA from 1 species